AGUAGGGCCUGCCCACUGAGUAUUUAAAGGGCCGCAGUAUCUUAACUGUGCAAAGGUAGCAUAAUCAUUAGUUUUUUAAUUGAAAGCUGGAAUGAAUGGUUUGAUGAAAAAAUUUCUGUUUCAUAUUUAAUUAUUUAAAAUUUUAUUUUUAAGUUAAAAAGCUUAAAUAUUUUUAAAAGACGAGAAGACCCUAUAGAGUUUAAUUAACUAGUAAUUUUUAAAAAAAGAAUUAAAAUUUAAUAAUUAUAAAAUUAAUUUAAUUGGGGUGAUUGAAAAAUUAAAAAAACUUUUUUUAUAAAUUUACAUUAAUUUAUGAUUAAUUGAUCCAUAAAAAUGAUUAUAAGAUA
rnacentral:rRNA from 1 species